AAGUCGUAACAAGGUUUCCGUAGGUGAACCUGCGGAAGGAUCAUUAUCGUAUAACUGGCGACGCAGGCGCGCCCCGCUCCGGUCAAGCGGCCGUGCAGCGGGUGCGCCUGAGCCGCUCAAAACCACAAACCCACCGUGCACUCUUGUCGGCGGAGGGCCCUCAGGGCCCCGAGCCGGAUCACAAACUCCAAACAAUAAAAGAAUGUCUAGCGGACGUUGUGCCGCCCAAAACUAAAAACAACUUUCAACAACGGAUCUCUUGGCUCUCGCAUCGAUGAAGAACGCAGCGAAAUGCGAUAAGUAAUGUGAAUUGCAGAAUUCAGUGAAUCAUCGAAUCUUUGAACGCACCUUGCGCUCCUUGGUAUUCCGAGGAGCAUGCCUGUUUGAGUGUCUUGAAGUCAUCAACCCCUCCCGUUUUGUGCGGAGAGGUCGGUUGGACAUUGGGGGCUUGCUGCCGCUGGGCGGCUCCCCUCAAAUGCGUCGGUUGGGCCUGCGGGUCGAACUCGGUUGGGCGUUGUACCAUCCUCGCUCUGGUCCGAGAUGUUCCCCAUUUGUCGAGCCCUUCCAAGACCCCCUGUGGAGUGGUGGUCAAGCUGAAACUUUGAAAUCUGACCUCAAAUCAGGUAGGACUACCCGCUGAACUUGA
rnacentral:rRNA from 1 species